AAAUUGGAUAAACAAUUGUGUAAUCGCCGUGGAGACGGCUUUGGGGCUUCGCACGAAAAUAGUACACACCUUGAGUAGAUUCAUAGCUCAAUGGUUUUUUUUUGCCAGACAUUUUCAGAGGAACUCACACGCGUAUCGAUUUUGCCACCCACGAAAAACCAUCACAUGUGUUACGAAAAUUAUUUUCCUGUAACCGUACCACAACCACGUUUUUUGACGAUUGUUGGACUAGAAUCGAUCCUGGAAAAACCUUAGUUGAGACCUCAGCGCGAUGCAAUUAGAUAAUUACUUUCGGGACCAAUUUCGCAGUAACACAUAAAUUACCUCGAAUAAU